GACGUAGGGCGCGAGCGUUGUCCGGAUUUAUUGGGCGUAAAGAGCUCGUAGGCGGCUCAUUGCGUCGUUCGUGAAAACCUGGGGCUCAACUUCAGGAUUGCGGGCGAUACGGGUGGGCUGGAGUUCGGUAGGGGAGACUGGAAUUCCUGGUGUAGCGGUGAAAUGCGCAGAUAUCAGGAGGAACACCGGUGGCGAAGGCGGGUCUCUGGGCCGAUACUGACGCUGAGGAGCGAAAGCGUGGGGAGCGAACAGG
rnacentral:rRNA from 1 species